UUCCGUAGGUGAACCUGCGGAAGGAUCAUUAGUGAAUAUAGCGCACCUUUUUAACAAGGGCGUGACCUCUCACUUUUCAAACUCUGUGCACAUUUUUUUGGCAAUGAGGAGUGUCUUUAAGAUCUCCGAUUUGCGGCUCAUUAUAAAACAUGAUCAGUUAAAGGAUGUUAAAGAAAUUUAUAACAAAAAAAACUUUCAACAACGGAUCUCUUGGCUCUCGCAUCGAUGAAGAACGCAGCGAAAUGUGAUAAGUAAUGUGAAUUGCAGAAUUCAGUGAAUCAUCGAAUCUUUGAACGCAUCUUGCGCUUGCUGGUAUUCCGGCAAGCAUGUCUGUUUGAGUGUCGUGAACUCUUCAACCCCCACUUUUUCUUUAUUGAGAUUGCGGUGUGGAUUGGUUUUUGAGCUCUGCUGGACCCUUUUGGGGUCGGAGCUAGCUCGUAAUUCAUUAGCAUCCCUAUUUCGAGAUCAGAUUGACUCGGCGUAAUAGACUAUUCGCUGAGGACAUUGCCGCAAGGUGUGGCUGAACUUGAUAACAGUUGGAAGCUUCUAACCCCUUGACAAUACUAGUCACUUUUCAUAAGAUUAGACCUC
rnacentral:rRNA from 1 species